UGGAAAGAUGCCAUGGUCCUCCUCGG
rnacentral:piRNA from 1 species